AAACGGGGGGAGGGGGGGGGACGAAUAUGUCCGGUCAAUUUUGACGGUUACCGACAAAAUACCCGUCGUAAUUGGCGCCUUUUGUGGGCGUCCCGCUGCGAAUGGAACCCGCCGUUCGGCUGUUUAUUAUUGCCGUUUUAAUUGCUGGGAUAAUUACGCGAGACACGGCCUUAAUAUCGACGAAAUAGAAAGUGUGUGAAGCAGGACUGUCCGCGACAAACGCACGGAAUUGGGCGCCCAAGCGAGGGACACGAGGCGGCAGAUUCCGUUGCCAUCGUGGAAGGCGAGGCCUACGGCGAAGUGCAACUGGAGCAGAGAGGAGGUUUACUGGAUCAACCAGAAGGGCACAGGCGUCGCAGCACGAAGUUGAGUGCCAAGGCCACUGGUGGCGAACUUGGGGUUCCUUGCAAGCGAUUGGGGAAGGAAAACUGCAACGAAAUCUCACACUGACCAAGGUUCCUGUGGCCCUGGUACCGUCCAAUGGAGAGUCAAUUCGAACGAAAAAACCCAGAUUAAAUCUGGAAGAACUUUAGAUGGCGACACCCCGCUACCAGCUGAUCACCGAAGUACGGCAGUUCGGUCGCGGUGGCAUUCUCUGCUGUUCGCCAGACCAGGCCUGUGUCACUGACCUUCUCAAAUGUACUGCGUUCGCCUUACGUCCGGGGCCGUAAAUGACGGCUUUCCGUUGCCGACCAGGGCUCGUCCUGGUCGGCUAGUCGUCCCACGGAGUCGGUGCACCUGGAGUGUUUUCUUCGCAAUGGGGUCAACGCCUUGCCCGCGCCGAUCGUUCCCACAGAUGCUGGAUCCAUUCGGCUGGCCGAAUCAGAAGUUUUCGAGGAAGAGCUGCGCGGUAUAACCGAACACUCCAUUGACAUCUCGGAGGCAAGGCAUUUCGGCAAGACUGGCAUUCUGUGAGUGCGUGGAGUUGGGUUCUCGAGCCGUCUUCCGUGCGUCUCCUGUCGCCACCAGACGUCCUCCUAGCCAGCUGAAGCAGACGUGACACUGGUAUACCAGAGGCGCUGGCAAGACCGAGCACCAACAACAGGGCUGCCUCGAAGUGAUUGGACUCCAACAUGAAACCUGGUCCUGCCGCAGGGAGAACUUCCAACAUUACGUCAUGAUGUGCUCUACGGUGCUCAGAACCGCCGAAAUUAUCUGGGAUAUACCCACGUAUGAUAAUAAACGGAUGAAAGAAAGUGUUCCAUGCGGCGCCGACAAGCAAACAAGCCUUGGCGCACGCAAUUACGGAACUGCUACUGUCAGUACACUACAGUGCCACAGAGAGGAACGCCACCCACUGCAGGACAAAGGUCUCUCCCAUACUGCUCCUCAAAGAGACACCACCUAACGUCACUACACUGUCAUGGUGACAGUCAAAGAGACACCAUAGUGGCAAUGAAAGGGACAGUAGACUGCCAUAGUGGCAGUCAAAGAGACACCAUAGUGGCAGUGAAAGAGACAGUAGCAGUCAUAGAGACACCAUAGUGGCAAUGAAAGAGACAGUAGACUGCCAUAGUGACAGUGAAAGAGACAGUAGCAGUCA